CCAGACCCAUUGUUGAGGGCAUCCCUGGGGCAGCUCUUCCUUAGACCAGCAGCCGGGGUGCAGUAGCAGCAGCACCUUCAUAACUGGUAAAUGAGCUCAUAAUUUUAUUUGUACAAUGUAAAAUAUUUGGUUGUUGCCUUAAUUAAAAUGCUUUUUGUACUGUGACAUUUAUUGACAUUGUGGGGUUUUUGUGUGUAGUUUCACAUAACACUCCAUCACUUUUACCUGUUCCCAUGCAAGGGGUGACUGAAGCAUGCACAGUAAGUUGGGAGAUUAAAAAUUAAAAAAAUUAUAUAUAUAUAUAUCUUUUUUAAUUCUUUUUUUUAAUAUCUUUUUUAAAUUAUUUAAUUAUUUAUUGCUUUUAUAGCCGUGGUCUCUCAUCUUGAUUACACGAAGUGUUUUACUAUUACUACUCUAAAAUAUGAAUUACAUCUGAAAUAAUCAAGUACAUGACAUAGAAUGAUUAAUAGUACAUUUCCCUUUUUUUAGGAAAUGACCUGUAUGUAUCUGUAUGAAAUCAAUAAAAGAAUCAAAUACUGCAUUAUCUUUAGUUACAUUGAUAAUAUUUAUUUAUGGACAAACAGUGGAGAAAUAUCGCUGUUGCUUUCGUAUAAAUGAAGCGGACAUACCUGAAGUGGCGCGAUCUAAUCCUGUUUACAUAAAGUAAACCUGCUCCCAAGCAGGUUUACGCUUACGGAUCUGUUGCUAUGACAGCAAGUCCCGGAUGAGCUUCGGAGAACCGAACGAUCCAAGAUCACGCGAAAUCGUCAACAAUCAAAUCCGGCUAACUUACUUAGCGAGGUAUGAAGAACGGGCCCCAGGCCUAGCAGGGGCAUUAUUUAGGAUAAAUGGUAUUAAGCAAUAAGUUCAAAAUCACCAGUAAGACAUGUGUAAAUGAUUGUUUUUGGUAGUAUUGUACCAGGGCUAGGAACAAAGUCCAGACCGUAACUGUGAAUAAACAUGAACAGUUUUUUAGUGUAUGUUCAUUAAGUUGAGGUUUCGAGUGAGUCUGUGCAGGAAGCAAACUGUAGGUCCUGUACAGCAGCGGUCCCCAACCUUUUUUGCGCCACGGACCGGUUUAUGCCCGACAAUAUUUUUACGGACCGGCAAUAAGGUGUCGCGGAUGAAUACAACAAAAUAAAACUAGUGCCGGUACCGAAAAAAAGAAGAUUUAUUCAUAACACACGUGAAAAGACCCAGGAAAACCGAGUUAACGAUAAAAACGAUAACAAAAUAACGCUGAAAACCGAUAAAAACCCUGAAAACCAUACAUUUCACACCUGAGCCUCAACUCUCGCGGCCCGGUACCAAACGACUCACGGACCGGUACCGGUCCGAGGCCCGGGGGUUGGGGACCGCUGCUGUACAGGACUUAAGAACUACAAGCCAUUCAUUUGACCUCAUUUCUUAAGAGUAAAAUUACGGAGUUGUUUAAAUUUCUUGAUUGAAAAAGGAUUUUUCGUGAGAUUUUUUUUUAAAAUGAAUGUAAUUUUAUGUUUGAAUGGCAAUCACCGCAAAAUAAAUCGGAAACUGAAAAUGAGUUGUGGGGACUUUAAAUAAACUGAAUCGAAAUAUUUGUGAAUGUGAUCUUCAGAUGUUUUAUUUUUACUCUGUUUCUCUGUUAAUGUGAUGUCAGUGUAAAUUACUGAACCGGUUUACAACCGCUUCAACUUCCACUAAUCUGCUCUUUGAUGACGUUGUGCAAUCAAGUAUUGUGAACAUUUUAUAGAGAACUGCUGCCUUGCUGCUUUAUGUGUCUCAGAGUCCACUUUGUGACUGCAGCAGUGUUAAAUGUGCUGGGGGAUGAACUGACCCAGUGUCUGUGAAGAGCUGCUGAUCAGAUAAUGAUUGUUAAUACUGCUGCUUUGUGUUAGGAAAAACACUGAGGAGGACAAUAAACACCUUUAAUCCCUGAA
ensembl:lncRNA